rnacentral:rRNA from 1 species
UACAGAGGGGGCAAGCGUUGUUCGGAAUUACUGGGCGUAAAGGGCGCGUAGGCGGCCCGCUAAGUCGAACGUGAAAUCCCCGAGCUCAACUCGGGAACUGCGUCUGAUACUGGAUGGCUUGAGUUUGGGAGAGGGAUCCGGAAUUCCAGGUGUAGCGGUGAAAUGCGUAGAUAUCUGGAGGAACACCGGUGGCGAAGGCGGCAUCCUGGACCAACACUGACGCUGAGUGAGCGAAAGCCAGGGGAGCAAGCGGG